GACGUAGGGCGCGAGCGUUGUCCGGAUUUAUUGGGCGUAAAGAGCUCGUAGGCGGUUUGUCGCGUCUGCUGUGAAAACCCGAGGCUCAACCCCGGACUUGCAGUGGGUACGGGCAGACUAGAGUGUGGUAGGGGAGACUGGAAUUCCUGGUGUAGCGGUGAAAUGCGCAGAUAUCAGGAGGAACACCGAUGGCGAAGGCAGGUCUCUGGGCCACUACUGACGCUGGAGAAGCGGAAAAGCCAUGGGGAGCGAACAGG
rnacentral:rRNA from 1 species